GGAAGCUUAGCUCAGUUGGUCAGAGCAACCGGCUCAUAACCGGUCGGUCCUGGGUUCGAAUCCCAGAGCUUCCA
rnacentral:tRNA from 1 species